AGAGUUUGAUCAUGGCUCAGAGCGAACGCUGGCGGCGUGCCUAACACAUGCAAGUCGAACGUGAACGGGAGCAAUCCUUAGUAAAGUGGCGUACGGGUGAGUAACACGUGGAUUAUCUACCCUCUUGUGGGGGAUAACUCUGGGAAACCGGAGCUAAUACCGCAUAAGUCCGGGAGGAGAAAGCAGCAAUGCGCAGGAGGAGGAGUCCGCGGCCGAUUAGCUAGUUGGUAGGGUAAAAGCCUACCAAGGCUAAGAUCGGUAGCCGGCCUGAGAGGGCACACGGCCACACUGGCACUGAAACACGGGCCAGACUCCUACGGGAGGCAGCAGUGGGGAAUCUUGCACAAUGGGGGAAACCCUGAUGCAGCGACGCCGCGUGAGCGAUGAAGCCCUUCGGGGUGUAAAGCUCUUUCGGCAGGGAAGAUUAUGACGGUACCUGCAGAAGCAGCUGCGGCUAACUACGUGCCAGCCGCCGCGGUAA
rnacentral:rRNA from 1 species